CCCCUAAAACACUUUCUCUUCUCCUCUCCAGGUCUGAAGACCAGGCGUCUGCAGACGGGCGUGUCCUGUGUUCCGUGGUUGCCACGGUGGCCCCGCCCGGCGACCGGACAGUGCUGCAGUGGUACGAGCGGUUCCUGACCUCCGUCUGGGAGGUCAAAGGUGUUGCCGGGCAGCGUAGCCUGUACCAGCUGUCAGACGUGUCGAGCACAGGGAGAGCGCCGCUCGUCGUGACAUACGAGAUAGACGGCGAACUGCGAACACUGGACGUGCAGGAGGGUGUCGAGGGGGGAUCCCAGAUGGACAUGCAGGAGGAUGUGGAAGGGGACUGAAGGCUGGCAUUGUCCACUACAAGAGCUUCAAAGACCUGGCUGAAGUGAUGACCAGGUGAGCUGGGACACCUGAGACUGUUCCAGGUGUUGCACAGGAGCGGGAGGCAGACACCUUUGUCUCUCACCUGGCUACAACACCAACACCUGUGCUCCUCACCUGCCUACACAGGCUGACAUGAACAGCUACAUCAACAGCUGGCAGCUGACUGGGUAUAGGAAGCACCUCGUGAGAACCAUGUUGUUCAGCGGUUCUUGUUCAUCUUGGUUCAUGUUCGUAAAAUUAAACCACAAAACAGACAAGUUCGGGGGCUGCCAAAGUAGAUGGCAGAGAUUGUUUGUUUGUUUGUUUGUUUACAUGUAUGUAACCAUGUUGCCUAUGCUGGUGCUUUUCAGUAUUCCCUGGGGAAAACCCAGACAUACAUUAUCAUAAAAUAAAGUAAAAUAAAAGAAAGAAGAAUAAUAAACAUUAACGCAAAACCAAAAGUAACUUGGUAAUAACAAAUACAUAACAUCUUAUUGCAAAAUGAAUAGAUCAAGGAUGUAAAAAAACCGGAUAGAAUGAAA